GGACGCGCGACCGCCGCCCAGAGUCUCCGCCCCAGCUCCCUUCCUUCCCCUUCGGGCUGCUCCGUGCCCCGCUCAGGGCUCCCGGCCCCACCUUCCUGCUCAACAUCAGCUGAAAGGCUGUUCUGGCAAAACAUGCCCUCACGGGGACACAAUUGCUCAAGGAAAACAUUUCCCCUUCUUUUUCCUGGCACGGCUCUAGGCAGUUUCCCGAGCGGAGUAGUGACGAAAGCCAGAGGCUGUGGCCACUCGGGCAGUGACGACGGGACGCCCUUUGCCUCGGCUUUGCGGGCUCCAAGUGGGCCAUCCUUCACCUUCCCGACGGCAGAGUUGCAGCAGCUCGUCCUGGGAACGCUGUCCAGGCUGCAGGACCAGCCUCACGGAGCCACUCGGGAGCCCAAGGGUGUCCUGCUGCCCUGGUGCCUCCUCCUCGUGACCCCAUACAACCUAUGCACAUUUGUGUCCCAUCACUGGACUGACACCUUGGUUGUUGUUGGACAAACCCUGGUCUGCCCUACUUCCCUGGAGGAGUGUUUAUCCAGCUUAGUGUGUCUGCAGUAUCACAGAGGGGGCAGCAGCAACUGAGACAAUGUUUUCCAGGAAAACUGACACAAGCAGCACACAUUUGGAAGCUGAGGUGCCUCUGGAUGAGGAUCUACCCGAAUCUCCCUUUUUGAGAAGGCUCUGUGUGCACAGUGACCCCGAGGGAGCAGCUCCCUCUGCCGAUGUUUGUGCCCCAGAGACACGGCUCUCCUGGGAGCUGGAGCUUUCCAGAAGCCCACUUUUUUAUUUUUUUUAAUCGACUCUUAGAUUAAAAUGUCUUGAAGGAA
rnacentral:lncRNA from 1 species